AUCACUUGAGCCCAGGAGUCCAAGACGAAUCUGGGCAACAUGGCGAAGCCCCAUCUGUACCAAAAAUACUACAAUUAGCUAAGUGUGGUGGCUCAUGCCUGUAAUCCCAGCACUUUGGGAGGCUGAGGUGGGAGAAUUGCUUGAGGUCAGGAGUUUGAGAUGAGGCUGGGCAACAUGAUGAAACCCCGUCUCUACCAAAAAUACAAAAAUUAGCUGGGCAUGGUGGCACACCCCCUGUAGUCCUGGUUACUUGGGAGGCUCAGGUGGAUGAUUGCUGUGCCCAGGAGUUCAAGGCUAUAGUGAGCUGUGAUCGUGCCACUAAACUCCAGCCUGGGUGACAGAGUAAGAUCUUAUCUCUAACAAAAAUAAGUAAAUAAAUAAAAGUCAGGGGAAGGAGUGGGAAACCUGGUCCUAACUUCUCCCUCUGCAAAAAGAGAGGAUUGAUUCAUUCCUCCAACAAAUAUUCAUUGGAUAAUAGAUCUAUUCUGUGCUACGGCACCUUUAUUCUUCCAUGCUAGAGAUUCAGGAGACCAUAAGAAAGAAAGGAUCUCAGGCUGA
rnacentral:lncRNA from 1 species